rnacentral:rRNA from 1 species
UGGGCAACCUGCCCCUCUCUCUGGGAUAACCCCCGGGAAACCGGAGCUAAUACCGGAUACUCCGGCUGGAUCGCAUGGUCCGGCCGGGAAAGGUCCGCCGGAGAGGGAUGGGCCCGCGGCCUAUCAGCUUGUUGGUGGGGUAGUGGCCUACCAAGGCGACGACGGGUAGCCGGCCUGAGAGGGUGACCGGCCACACUGGGACUGAGACACGGCCCAGACCCCUACGGGAGGCA